rnacentral:tRNA from 1 species
GGAGCUGUGGUGUAGACGGUUAACAUGUCGGCCUGUCACGCCGGAGCUCGCGGGUUCAAGUCCCGUCAGCUCCGCCA